rnacentral:rRNA from 1 species
UACGUAGGGUGCGAGCGUUGUCCGGAAUUAUUGGGCGUAAAGAGCUUGUAGGCGGUUUGUCGCGUCUGCUGUGAAAGCCCGGGGCUUAACCCUGGGUCUGCAGUGGGUACGGGCAGGCUAGAGUGUGGUAGGGGAGACUGGAAUUCCUGGUGUAGCGGUGGAAUGCGCAGAUAUCAGGAGGAACACCGAUGGCGAAGGCAGGUCUCUGGGCCAUUACUGACGCUGAGAAGCGAAAGCGUGGGGAGCGAACAGG